UACAGAGGUCUCAAGCGUUGUUCGGAUUCAUUGGGCGUAAAGGGUGCGUAGGUGGCGCUGUAAGUCAGGUGUGAAAUUUCGGAGCUUAACUCCGAAACUGCAUUUGAUACUGCGGUGCUUGAGGACUGGAGAGGAGACUGGAAUUUACGGUGUAGCAGUGAAAUGCGUAGAGAUCGUAAGGAAGACCAGUGGCGAAGGCGGGUCGUCUGGACAGUUCCUGACACUGAGGCACGAAGGCCAGGGGAGCAAACGGG
rnacentral:rRNA from 1 species